rnacentral:rRNA from 1 species
AUUGAACGCUGGCGGCAUGCCUUACACAUGCAAGUCGAACGGCAGCACGGGUGCUUGCACCUGGUGGCGAGUGGCGAACGGGUGAGUAAUACAUCGGAACAUGUCCUGUAGUGGGGGAUAGCCCGGCGAAAGCCGGAUUAAUACCGCAUACGAUCCACGGAUGAAAGCGGGGGACCUUCGGGCCUCGCGCUAUAGGGUUGGCCGAUGGCUGAUUAGCUAGUUGGUGGGGUAAAGGCCUACCAAGGCGAUGAUCAGUAGCUGGUCUGAGAGGACGACCAGCCACACUGGGACUGAGACACGGCCCAGACUCCUACGGGAGGCAGCAGUGGGGAAUUUUGGACAAUGGGCGAAAGCCUGAUCCAGCAAUGCCGCGUGUGUGAAGAAGGCCUUCGGGUUGUAAAGCACUUUUGUCCGGAAAGAAAUCCUUGACUCUAAUACAGUCGGGGGAUGACGGUACCGGAAGAAUAAGCACCGGCUAACUACGUG